AAUUUUACUCGCUGCCGCUGUGGACAACGCACACAUAAAAGAUUACAUCAAGGAUAAAAGACAAGAUAACUUACUAUUCAAUGUCAUCGAUUACACUAUGGGCUCUUUAAAAAUUACACCAAAAACCUAUGUAAUUAGGGCUGAAGCUAUUAUGAGCACAAUACCAAUUAUCAAAAAGAGCAAUACGAUGCAAUAUAUUGAUGCGGCAACCAACAUCGCCACGCUUUAUGAAAAUUUAUUUGCACGGCAACCAACUUUAAUCAAACAAUCAGAAUGUUGUGGUGAAAAUGUCGAAAAAUCGUGCCAUUCCUCACAGAUGAGCUUCUGCUGGAUAGUAAUUUCGAAGAUUUAGCCCUGCAACGCAUCAUUGAAGUGGAUCCAAGAAUUUGUCCUGCAUGCAGAAAUAGAAAAACAGAGCAAUGGAAGCUGCUACAUAUAGAUCGUGUUAUAGCAUUUGAACCAGCUCAAAUCUCUGGGCCUGUACAGCUCGACAAGAUCCCGAAAUGUUUGCGUGCUGGCGAGGAAACUUUUAAACUGGUUGGAUGCGUCGGCUUUAAGGGUCUAAACAAUACUGGAUCGCGAUGCUCAACCAGCUUGGGCCACUACAUCGGCAUCGCCUUCCGAAGAGGAAAGUUUAUUAUAUACGAUGACCUAAACGACAGAGAGAUAGCUACGAAGUCAACGCACAAAAUAUUGCUAAGUCUUUUAAUUUAUGUAAUUAUAUAAAUAAAAUUAAAAAAAUUUUAUACCCAUCGAAAUCUAUUAUUUCCAACUUUUAUUAAAUAUCAUUUCAAGCGCUACGUAGUAACUUUCUCGAUAUCUAAAUUCCAUCGACAAUGGAAGUUAGCGCUACAUACCAUUUUCUCUUAAACCACGAAAGCUACAAAUUUUUUCUUUCCACA